GCCCGGGUGGUGGAACGGCAGACACAGGGGACUUAAAAUCCCCCGGGGCAACCCAUGCGGGUUCGAAUCCCGCCCUGGGCACCA
rnacentral:tRNA from 1 species